UACGUCUCCUUGAAUUUUUACUCUAAAUCCGCCCUUUUUAACCUCUAAGUUGUUGUAAACCCUUUUUCUUCCUUAUGAACGAUUUCCUACUGGUAGAGCAAAGGUUAUUUGGUUGUUGUAACUCGUACCCUUCGUUACCCUCACGGUUUCUACCUCCGGUUCCCCCCUCGAGGUGUUACCUCCGGCUCUCAUCUUUGACGAUUUUUUACCCGUCACACCACAAUUCUAUUGCAGCAGACAACAUCGAAAUAUUCAUCAAAAUUCGCAAUUCCAAUCUACCUAACAAAUUGUUUUGGGAGAAACCGACUACUACAUCACAAUUCGCAAUUUCAUAACAGUAACUCCUGAAUAGCUGGAUGAAAGUGCGUGAACCAUCUCCGUGCUUCUGUAAAGGGAGAGUAAACAAAUUGGUCGGCCCCAGGUGCAGUAUUAUUAAAUUUUGGAUCAAAAAUAUUGAUGCCUGAAACCACCCUAUAUAGUCCUAGAAGAGUGUAUGCUGCAUGGCUUUCAUACUGGUCAGGUCUAUCUUUGUUGCAUAAUGACAAACUCCAUAUUGGUAUUUGAUAAAAUUGCUUUAUGCUUUUUAGUAUGCUGAUCAUAUUCUUACAUUAGAAAUUUCAAUACUAAAUGGAGAAUGAUCUAUGUUUGAGCUUCCUGCAAUUUCUUGAUAUGUGCUUGUGAUGAUGAAAUCUGACAUGAAAAAUGGUACUUCGGAUCCUUCUGUCUCUAGUUGACAUCUUAAUCUUCAUACUUUGUCUUAUCUAAGGCAUGUGCUAUUGUGGCCUAUCACGAAAAACAGUUAACUUCAGAAUGAAGGUAUACUUUAUUCUUACUAUGGUUGUUGAGUUAUGAAAUUAUGUUACCAGUGUUACUCCAAGCUUGUUUGCCAUGAGUGAUGCAACUAGAUUUCCGUCUGUAUAAUUUACAAUUAUAAUGUCCGACUUUCCUUCCAUAAGCUCAAGGAUUUUUGUUCUGGUGUCCUGGUGUCAUAUAAAAAAUAAUUAUGAUGAACUAGAGUAAAUAUAAUGAUCCUAAAACUUAACAAGUCUAUUGGUAAUUCAAUUGGUACAUGCCUGGGUAAACAAUUGAUUCCAGUUCUUGAUUGCACUUGGUUCCUUGAGAAUUUGGAAUUAGCCUAGUAACCUAUAUACACAACACCAAUCAGCUGUAGUUUAAUGGCUUUAUAAAUUGAGAUGAAGUGAUGAUAUCAAUCUAUUGAGUACCCCACCACUAGAAUUUGGGGCUUUACAUUAAGCCCUUGAUUCUUGUAUCUGAUGAGUCAUUCCUCUUCCAGUGCUCUAACUUAAUAUAAACCACCAGCAACAGCAUAAUAAUAUGAUCACAUUUCAUGUACUUCGUCUUCUUUUGCAGGCUGUUAUAACCCAAACAUAUACCUUUCCCCUAGUAACUGGCAAGCCAAGAACAUUUGCUUAGCCAAAGUAACUGUUUACAGAUAAUAUCACAAAACUCAAGAUCGUUGGAAGCGUGCCAAAGAAUUUCUCCACGCUUACUGGGUCUGGUGCUUGGAGCACCUCAGAUAGAGAACUUCUCAAAAGUGCCUUGAGAUCAUGCAGAUGUUUCACAAAGUUUUCCCGUUUCAAUGUGUGGGAUAGCAAUCAAACAUUGGAUUCGUAGUUAGAAGAUAAAAAAACCGGUUUCUAAAUGCUUUACUUAAUAUAGUAACUGUUGUUUUUAGGAUUAAGUGAUCAAUAUGACACGAACCAUAGCUAUGGUGAUCGAGCAGCACCAACUAGAGUGGGUAUAGAGGGAAACAUAAACAUUUUAGUGUUGGUCGCUUGGUGCACCCAAUGACAUUAUUAAAAGUUUUUAUCAUUUCUUCACUUGUUCAGCCACUUUCAAAACCCUCCCAUCUACUUUCUACUCUUCACCUAGGCUAAUCAUUUGCCUAAAAUUAGAAAAGUUCACCAUAACUUGUCAGAAUUUUAUUCAUAUGUCAUUGGCUGCACAACCUAUACACCCACAUUUGUUGGUGUUGCUCCCUGCACUAAAUCCAUAGUUGUUCUAUCGACAAAUUUUUCCUUAUAAUGUAGAUGCUUCAAUUCAAUUCAUAUCGUGACUGAAGAUGCAUCUUCAUCACCACCAAGGGGUGAGGGAUAUAAGUGAUAAUGAGAUUCAUUGGCCAAACACAUAAAUUUGUUAGUGAAAAUACAUGACUGAGGAACUUAAUUCACAUGGACCAUUUCAUGUAAUAUUACAAACUUAUUGUUGUCGCUUGAUUUAUAAUCUAGUGCCAAGAAAGCAUUAGGCAUUAUAUGAACCUUUGAUCUUGCACAUGUUAUUACAAUCUGGAACAACCAUACAACUGAUCUAGGACCUUUUUGAGCUUUUGCACCAACUCCUGAUGGAAGUCUAACACUUGCCCACUGAUGGCACUUAUGUAAGCAAAGAACAGGGUAUUUUUGGACUUCUGUAGUAGUAAAGCUGCUUUUUCUUAUAUGAUAUUUUACGAAUACAUUUUGAUAUACGUAGCUCCAAGUGGGCAAGCACCGUGUUGGUGUAAUUUAAGGAGAUGCAAAGUAUGCAAGCUAUGAGAGUUCUCAAAAUCUAUAGAAGAUGUCGAUUUCCCGUGAACGACAGAACAUAUAACUCCUCUUUUGAUGUAGCGCAUACGUUGAGAUUACUCUGCUUUUGCUUGAUGUCUAUUUAGAUGUUUAAAACAAACAGUUAUACUGUGAAAUUAGUAUCCAAUUGAAUUAGUAAUCUGUGUCUGUUAUGCAACGAUUGCUCUACACAAAAUUAUUCAAACAAUGGGUGCCACAGAGUGGAAGUUUAAUGAUGUUUCCUGUCAAGUUGAAAAGGUUGAGGUAACACCAUAUUUAGGAUUCAAUUAUGAAAGCGACAUUACAUGUGAUUGUCAGCAUGAGAACGAUACUUGCCAUGUUAUAAAAAUGUAUUCUUACUUCAUCCCAAUUUUAAAGGCUUGUUUUAUUUCAUCUUUUAGUUACGAUAUAAGUUAGUAAACAGAUCUGUAUGCAUUGUAGAGUGCUCAAGGGUUUAAGUCUCCCUAGUGUGCUUUCACUUGAACUAGUGAAGCUUCCUUAUCUUCGUGAAAUGUAAGAACUAGACUUCUGUUUUUUCAUCUAAAUUCUAGUAUAAAUAUUUCGUUGUAAUGCUUGCAGUGAUUUUGCCUAUAACUAUCUAUCUAGUGAAAUACUUGUGGAGUGGACUUCGAUGCACUUAAACUCUAUGUAAGAAUGUAAAUAUCUCUGGCAUUUUGAGUAUCUUGGAAGUUCGAAUUUCACGAAGUCAUGCAGGUGAAACUCAUGCAGCUCUCUACUUGUGAAUCGGUUGUCUGGAGAAAUCCCAAAGGAGCUGGGGAAUAUCGCCAAUCUCUCUGCCCUAUAUGUCUCAAUUCUUCUUUCAUUUACAACCUUGUCGGCUAUAUAAGGAGAAACUACCUCAAAACUCCUAUAAAUUUUUGACACAGUUGAAAACUCCACCAUUUGUGUCUUUAGCAUUAGUUUUGCCUGGCUGAUGCAGUUCUAUGUGUUUCUAGGAGUAAUCUGCUUGAAACUACCUUUUAUGAUGCCAGUUUGCCCAAAGCUUUCCUGCAUAUUCAUAUUUAUUCAAGUACCAAUAUGUUAAUUCUCUUAAUAAUCUACCAUCCAUGUUUACAAUUCUAUAAAAAUACUCUGAAUGAGUUGAAACUGCCCUUAGAUAAACAUACCUCUAAGCUAGUGGUAAGAUUUUGACUUAAAUAAAGAGCAUUUUCUUUCAUUAAAAGUUUUGGUGGGUUUUUUUAAAAAAGAAUUUCAAAAACGAGGGAUGCUGUUGUGCAGACUGAUGUCAAUAUGGGCAAUUUUUGGCAAAAACUCUAUAAAUUUUUUUAUGGCUUACUGGUUUCUCCAUGAAUCUUCUAUUGUAGAACAAUCAACUGAUCAAGGAGUCAUUGUCUUCUUUUCUGAGUAAAUUGCUUCUUGGAUUUCUUAUCGUGUUGUUUAUUUUUUUUCUUUUACGGAAUAUCGGGGACAAUCAAUUUAAUGGCAAAGUUCCUGAUGAGCUUGGGAACUUAAUGACCUUGAAGAUGUUAGUGCUGUCAUCAAACCAUUUAAGUGGAACACUACCUCAAACACUUGUGCACCUGAAGAAUUUGACGGGUUUUCGGAUUAAUCAUAGUAACUUCGAUGGAGUUAUACCAGAUUAUACAAAAGAUUGGGAGCAUCUUAACAUAUUGGAAAUGCAUGUAAGUGGGCUUCAGGGGCCUAUUGCAUCAGGAAUAUCCUCUUUGAAUGGACUAACUGAAUUUGUGCCGAGGAAUUGCAACAUUGCUGGAGAGUUUCCUGCGUACUUAUGGAAAAUGAAGUAUAUAAAAAUGUUGUAAGUUAUUGUUGUUAAAAAUGGGAACUUAUACUAUGAACUCAAUACACUUACAUGUAAGGCAAGUCUGCUAGUCUUUGUGGCAAAUACAGGUAACAUUUUAUAACACAGGAAUAUGGUUAUGACAUGCUUUUAACAUACGACUUACCCCAGGGGUGGCAAAUGCUGACUGAUUGCAGUCAGAGAUUUUUAGGUUUGCAGUGGAUUUUUAGCUCUACUAUGUUCAUAUCAAAGUAAUUGGCCUCAUCUGGCAUUAUUAGUCAAAACUUACCGAUUGAUUCAUCACAACAUUCUAUGAGUUAUAAGGUUGAAGUAGUGAUAACAUAUUUUUGAAAUUACUUUGCAAGAUUAAGAUAAUUUAGUAGUAUUUUACCAUAAAAUAAUCUGGUAAAAGAGGAGGGAGGCCUGUUUUGUAUAUAUAUUAUCCCAAAGAAAAAUCUAAACCAUAAAGUCUUGUUUAGCUUAGGUAGUGAGUGGUUUCCCUUGUACUAGGAAACAUUUGCUUUUUGAACAUUAGGUGGAGUAUGAUCACAUAGGGGAGUUAUUAACACGUACCAUCGAAAAGAUAUCAAGAAGAUUAAAAAGAAUCUGGAAAUCAGAUGCAAUCAAAUAGAGGUAUCUGACUUUCAAUUCAUUAUUUUGAUGCACAAAUAUAUUCUUCAUUGUCUAUAUUAAAGUAUUUGUGAUUUCUUGUGUAUAGUGCCCUCGCCAACCGCUUGGUACUCUAGAUUGAGGAUAUUAUGUGUGUUGCUACAUGCUUGAGAUGGUACAGUUGAGACGACUAGUUAUUCCAGAUAAGUACUAUCAAGACAUUGGUUCAACCUAUUCUCAGGAGAAAAUGGAUGAACUUAGGGAGUUGUAUUACAUAUGUCGGAGAUCAACAGGAAGCACAAAUGAUGAAUGAGUUCUAACUUUCCGCCUAAUUUUUUUUUUUACCUUAAUCCACUUUUGGACAUACAUUUUAUUUUUGGAUUUGGAUAUUGAUAUCAUGUGGAUGUGGCUAUAGGCUAGAUUUGAUAUUGUUUAUGAUUUAGAUUAAUAUUGAUAUGUAUAUAUAGUAGUUCUUUUUAGAAGUUUAGAAUUAUAAAUAUUAGUUCAAUUAUUUUGUGAUAUAAAGAAUUUUGGAAGUUUGGAAUAUCAUAUUCAAUUUAUUGGUUGUAA